GCCAGAUCCAAACUGAGAGGGAAGGUGUC
rnacentral:piRNA from 1 species